UUCACUCCCUUUCUCCCUAUUUAAACCAUCCUCAUCCCCUCUUUCCUAUCCGGUUUUGGGCUGUUCCUCUGUGUGCUCUGGUUAUUUGGCUACCCCCUUUCUAGUGAAAGAAGGAACGGAUAGAGAGGAUAGAAAGAGUUGAUGUGCCAAAGCCAAGGGCUUUCUUUUUUGCACCAGAAGGAGUUCGAGAGAUUAAACCGUGCACCACUAGCAGUUGAAGCUGCCAGCAUGAUCUAAACUCUCUCCUUAGAGGGAAAGAUCAGAUCAUGUGGCAGUUUCACCUGUUGAUGGGGGUACGACAACCACUGAUCCUCAUAAACCCUAAUCCCAAUCCUAUGCAUUUUUUACUACUACUGCUUCUCUGCCCUCUUUUCUAUCUAGUCUAUACAUCCUAAUUGCCUACUUGCUUCUGAUCUCUCUUUCUAUCUUUCUGGUAUUUACAUCUUAAUUGCUGCAUCUACACCUGUUUGGUUAUACGGGUUUAAUGGGUUUCCUUCUUCUUCUGCCAUGGAAACCCUAGAAAAAGAUGGGUAUACUAUAGGAGGGAGGAGGAGGUAACAGCCAGGAGACACGAAAUUGAAACCUCCUGGUUUUUUCACACCACAACCUCAUCAACUGUGCUAGGCAAUUGUUCUUAGACGAAUCUUUCUGGCUUCGAUAGAGAUAACAUUCAUCUACUUCAGAGUUGCUUUGAGUAUUGAAUUUUUUUUUUUUUUUUACAUGUAAUGAGAUCUGAAAAUGUUGUUGCCUUUGCUAUUUCUAAAUGGGCACUUUCAUACCCUCAUCAAGGUUUAUGGAAUUCCGCCGGAGAUAAAUUCAUCUACUUCAGAGUUGCUUUGAGUUCUGCUCUUUUUUACAUGUAAUGAGAUCUGAAAUGUUGUUGUCCAUGCUAUUUCUAAAUGGGCACUUUCAUAACC